rnacentral:lncRNA from 1 species
AUGAUCCAGAUGUUGAUUCAGCUUUUGAAAUUGCUUCCUAUCUUGGCAUACACCACAAUACAGAAAGAAGAGAUCUCACUGAUGAUAACUGUGGCUUUAAAGUUGGAGAUUUUCUUCCUUUGUGCAGCUGAGAAGUUUUGUCUUUGUGCCAGAAAACAAUACAUGCUCAAGCUUCUUGCAGUAUUGCACUUGUUCAUCGUAGCUGUCAGAAUGUGUGUAGCCAUUUUAGAACUGUUGAUAACCCCUGAAGAAAACAUCUUGCACCAUUAAGACUGUGUAGCAUCUACUUACUGCUUAAGAAGGUGUCUGCCCUUGCAUAAAGUGACAUAGGAGUAUCAUUGGUCAAGGCAAUGGCUUUCAGUGUUUCUGCUUUGAAAGAAAAG